UGUUAUUAUAAACAAAUAAAUGGUAUAUCUUUAUACGAUGAAGAACUUUUUAAAUUUUCGAAUGUUUAUAUAAGUUUUAAAAAUAAUAUACUAGAACCCUUUUUCCCUUAUAUAUGUAAUAAUAUAUUUUUUUUGUUUGAAUAUUACAAAUAUUAUAUAAUAAAUUUAAAAAACUUAUUUUUAAAGAAUUUUGAAAGAAAGCAUUUAUUCAUCACUCGUAAUAUGUUUAAUAAUUUUGUUUAUAAUAGAGAUUGUCAAAAUAAAGAAAACGUUUGGAUUCAUAUUCCGAUUCAGUAUGAUACGAAAAAUAAGUUACAAAUGGCACCACAAAAGAUAAUGAAAAAAGUAAACACAGAGGUUAGAAACGGUUAUUUAGAUGAUGACAUACCUUUGAGUACAAAAGGUUUAGCUACUUGUGCUUGUGGGAUCCGUAUGAUGAGAAGUAAUACGGUGAGAAGUGAUACGGUGAGAAGUGAUAUGGUGAGAAGUGAUACGGUGAGAAGUAAUACGGACGUAACAGAUGAGAGAAAAAACAGCAGGGAUGCAAAAAACAUAGGAAAAAGCGAUGCAAAUGCAAAAAAUGCAGACAAAAGCAGUACAAGUAAAAUGUACAAUAUCAACAAUUUUAAAAUAAAAAAUUAUAUUAAUCAUAAGUUAUAUGAUUCUAUAUAUAAUAAAAUAGAAAAUAAAAAUAGAAAAAAAAUAAAAAGAAAAUUAGAAAAAAAACCUGUGGAUAUACCAAUUUAUUUAUGGGUAAUUUUAGGAGGAAAAGACAUGAAAUCAAUGGAUUCAUUAAAUAUGGUUUAUAAAAUAUUAAGAUAUGCUACAGAAAUACCACCAGAAGAUUAUAAUAAAUAUGUAAGACAUUUAAAAAAAAAAAAAAUAAAAAUAAAUAAAAAAAAAAAAAAAAGAGUAUAGUAGUAAUGAUUGUGAUUAUAAAAUUGGCAUGAGUCAAAGUCAACGUAGUAGUAAGCAAAAUGAACAGGUUGACAAGCAAAACAAUAAACAACAUAUAAAUAACGAAAGGA
rnacentral:lncRNA from 1 species